ensembl:lncRNA
AUUAGCUAUUGAGUAAUGUGAAAGCUGCUGAUAAUACUGAUGUGACUUAUACAUGGAUGCCUAUAGGUAGAUGUGGAUCAGCUGAGAGUCUGCUGAUGCAAGCUUGACUGACGUGACCUGCCAGAACUAAUGCUACACUUGAUUUGUUGCUGGGUAACACAGUGUCAAGAAUCUAUCAAAACACCCCCGUACUCAUGCUGGAAGACUCCUUAGAGAGAACAAGUAGAGAGAGAGGAAGAGGAAGGAGUUGAGGCAGAGGAGCAGGCCCUCCCUCCUACCUGCUUCCCACACAGUGAGCAGUUCCUGUAGAUCUGGAGGAGGAACACUCCAACCUGAAUUCUCCUUAUUUCUAAACUCUGCUAAUAACCCUCUCAAGCAGACCAUCACGACUAUUUUAAGUUUGUAUACAUCCCACUCCUGGCUGCCUCAUGCAGUUAUUCAAUAUGCUUCUUGAGAAAUUGCACAAUCUACAGAAAAAUGGUACAUGAAAGAUGAUGAUUUCUUAAGCUGAUGCUUAAGCUACAAGGAGUGCUUUUGUACUGAAAGAAAAAGCAACUUUGACCAUGUUCAAGUAUUUCUAAUUCCUUCAAACUUUGAUGCUAAUUCAAAAAGCUGAGUUUUAAACCAAUUUUGAAUCACUCUUGUCCAAUCAAUGGCUGCACACCCCCUUGAAAAGGCUUUGAAGUUGAAUUAUUUCAGUUAUUUUCUGCUAUUUUGUUUUGCUGAAACUGAUGCAACCUAUUAGUGUAGAUUCAAGUCAAAAUGCUGAGACAGAUUCUCAUUUCCGAUGACACAAAAGAUAAUCGCUUGCAUUCAAGUGGCCUGUAAUGACUUAUAUUAGUUCAGUCAUAUUUGGCUGGAGUUUUCAACCAGUUGUCACACCGCUGACAACCUAAAAUCAAAUCUGAAAGGCCUUUAAAUUAAAGCAACUUUUUUAGUGAUGAAUUUUAGCCAUAAAAAAUUCAAAACAUCACAUCUAAGUAAUCUUGAAGAUCACAACAACAACAGAAGAACAUUGAUUUGACAUAACACUUUCUUGGAGCCAUUUUUACACGUGUCCAUCACAUCAGUUCAUUCGUUAACUGUGGCAAUGGCUGCAUGUUCCUCACAAAUUUUUCUUCACAAUCAAAGGAAUUCAUGGGAAGGAACCAUAUCACCUUCUGCUGCUUGACAGGGAUUUUUGACAGCCAGAAUUCACUCUCGAAAUCUCACUCUCCUUCCACCUUUUUUCUCAUUCUCCACUUCUCUCCUCACACUGUUCUUUACCCAGUGUCUCCCCUCCUACAGGGUUUGAUGGACGUGUGGAUUUCACCGACUUCAUUCUGUUGUGCUACAAUCCUGACAGGCCAAGACAUGCAGGUGUCCCCUCUAGCCUCCAUUCAAUGCUUACAAUGAGAAAAAUAGGUUAAUUGCAUUUUGAGUCAUCUCUGGUUAGGCUGACUUAUGAAAGGUUGAGAUUUUGACGUUUAUGCUCCAGGAGGAGAUCUCUGUUUGUGUAAUUUAAUUAAGAUCCGACUGUUUUCAGCCUGCCUGAACCCACAAAGAGAGGGUUUUAUCUGUACUUAAUUAUACUGCAUAAGUUGUAAAAAAUGUCAUGUCCGCUUUUCAAAAUAGGUUAGUAUCAUGUUUUUUAAUUUUUUUUUAAUUUUUUUUUUAUAAUGAGAGAAUCAAAGCCUGAUUUGCAUUUGUUUGUGG